GAUCUCUGGACAUUUUGGUUUUCCUCCACUAGUUCGUUGGGGCAGCCCUUAGCGGGUCUUCUCCGUCCGGUGGCUGGCGCCGGUGCCCUUUGGCAUGAAGUUCGUUCACCCCUUUGUUUAGGGCUCCGUUUAGGGCUCCGUUUAGGGCUCAUUCUCCCAGUUCUUUGUCUGCUUCUGCUCGUCGACCAGCUGCCGGCCCUUGGUUUUGGGUCCUCCCUGCCGGCUCUCCAAUGGUUUCCUGGGCUUGUUGAAGUGUGAUUUGGUCUUCUCUCUGAUCGUUCCAGCCUUCAUCUCCUUUCGUUGGUCCAAUGAAGCCCUCUAUCUCCGAUGGUGUGCGCUCAUACCGGCAGAGGUCUCUGUGGUUCGAUUCCUGAUCUGAAAACCUUUGGAUUGCUUGAUUGGUGGUGAAGAAGAGUCCUUUUCCGGCCUGGGGUUCCUUGUCUCAGUCUCAGAAGCACUGUUCCCGCGUCAUCUCCUCCAAGUAUACUCUGCUCUUUCUCUGUUCGAAGACCUGGAGUGGCCUUGGUGGGUUUUUGGCCUGGUGUGGCCUUGAUUAAUUUGUGCUCUCCUCUCUCCAUUGCUUAUUCUUAUAGGACCUUUCUCUGAUCAUGUCCCUGAUAUCUGCGGAGUUGUGUCUAAUGGAUCGCUUUGCACUACACCGCCUGUUAAGGGUAGAAAGUGAUGCACCGAGCAGAAAGGAAUGAGAGUGAAAAGCUUGAGUUUUAAACCGGUUACAGAGGCAAAAACUUCUUCGAGUCCUGGAGAUAUGGAUUCCAGCAGAGUGAAAUCACCUAAAUUGUGUACUAAUUUUCAAGAUCAGUCAUAUAUCUACGAGGCAUCGAGUAAUGAAAUUGGUCCUAUCGUGGAUUCGUCUUGGACGACAGGUCGCCUUGUCGAAGAAAGCAUUUUCAAAGAAAUAAUGAGUGUUUGAAGCAUAAGGGGAGAAGGAUUCGUAAAAUCUAUGGGAUGUGAAACAAAUCCAUUCUCUUUGAUGAUAAGAUUUGUUGUGUUACACCCUAUGAACGCUAGAGCGAAAAUCCAUGGUGAGGUACUUAACGAAGAUAACAUCGAAUAGACAUACCAACAUAUAUGUAUAUUUUUAUUAGUUUUACUAUUUGGUGAAUUAAAUAAUUUAAAUUGUAGUAAUAAAUUGGUAUAUAUCUUGGCUCCUCAUUGCAUUUGCUUUACCGCUCCUGAUUUCUUGCCUUUGUAAUUCUGUAAUUGACGAGCUUGGUCGUCCGAAGUUUUUAGAGCGUCAUUCAAAGAUUGCACUUUUCAUUGGUGCUGGAUUGAUU